GAUACUCUGAGUGGACUGGAGACUAAUCCAGAGAUAGUAGAACAGUCUUUCAAUUUAGAGGAUGAGAACAAAGCUAAAACAAACACUGUUUAAUGUACAGACUCUUAUUUCCAUGGAUAAGACAAGGCUUAGCUCUUAAACAAAGCCUAUUUGUCAAUGCCCUUACACUUGGGAGGAAGRCAGUGGUAAUGUUGUUCAUGCCUCUUGUAUUACAAGCUUUCAGCUAUCUCUGUUGGAAUACAUCCAUAAGGUUUCAGUACUGUGAAGAAAGCGUAUAUUCUCAGAACUAAAUAAACUGGCCUUUUCAGUCAGGCUGGCAAGCAUAGGCUGGCAGGCUUCGAAAGGACUUGGGACUCAUUCUUCAAAUUUUGGAAGACGCAGCUGGACAAACAGCAAAAUUUACAAAGGACACAAUGGCACAUGGAAAACAGAGAAACCAAAUAAAGUGGAUGAACAAGUGAGGCAAAGGUGUUGUGUUCUGAUAAUGCAUAUCCUUUACAAGUAUGGGCAAAUUAUUUGCUUUGCAUACAAAUUGAGCAUAAAGCUGAAUCCACAUGGAAAAAAGGAAAGAACUCUUCUUUA